AAAAAGUUGUAAAAAGGAGGGAUGGGAGAAGAGAAGAAAUAGUGUUGUGACUCCUGGCCCUCAGAUCUAUUGCUGUCCUAAGAUGUGCUCCCAAAUGAGUUUGUUCAUUUUACUGGUGCUUUUGUUCAGUUCUAUCUCAUCAUUUCUCAAAGAAUUCCUUCCAUGACUUCCUUUAUGAAGAUAACACAUAGACGAGGCGAAUACCAGGUGUAAGUAGUAUGUUAUAAAAGCAUGGACACUGAAUCUGGAGUCAGGGGCCUUCCUUUGGUCUUCUGUGAUGGAAAUGUCACUAGCGUUAUCCUACUUCAUUGGUAAAAAAAAAAUUGUACUCAGGCAAUCUACUUACAGGACUGUUUUGGGAAUCAAAUAAAAUAAUU